rnacentral:rRNA from 1 species
CUACGGGCGGCAGCAGUGAGGAAUAUUGCACAAUGGGGGGAACCCUGAUGCAGCAACGCCGCGUGGAGGAUGACGCAUUUCGGUGUGUAAACUCCUUUUAUAUGUCAAGAAAAUGACGGUAGCAUAUGAAUAAGCACCGGCUAACUCCGUGCCAGCAGCCGCGGUAAUACGGAGGGUGCAAGCGUUACUCGGAAUCACUGGGCGUAAAGGACGCGUAGGCGGGUUGGAAAGUCAGGUGUGAAAUCCUACAGCUUAACUGUAGAACUGCACUUGAAACUUCUAAUCUAGAGUAUGGGAGGGGGAGAUGGAGUGAGGGGUGGAGGGGUAAAAGCCGGAGAUAGCACUAGGAAGACCUAAAGAGAAGGCGGUCUCCUGGAACAUUACUGACGCUAAGGCGUGAAAGCGUGGGGAGCAAAAAGGAUUAGAUACCCCAGUAGUC